CCAGACUCCUACGGGAGGCAGCAGUGGGGAAUAUUGCACAAUGGGGGGAACCCUGAUGCAGCGACGCCGCGUGGGUGAAGGAGCACCUCGGUGCGUAAAGCCCUAUCGGCAGGGAAGAAAAGCGAACAGGUUCGCCUGGACGGUACCUGACUAAGAAGCCCCGGCUAACUACGUGCCAGCAGCCGCGGUAAUACGUAGGGGGCAAGCGUUAUCCGGAUUCACUGGGUGUAAAGGGAGCGUAGACGGCGGCGCAAGUCUGGAGUGAAAGCCCGGGGCCCAACCCCGGGACUGCUCUGGAAACUGUGCAGCUAGAGUGCAGGAAAGGCAGGCGGAAUUCCUAGUGUAGCGGUGAAAUGCGUAGAUAUUAGGAGGAACACCAGUGGCGAAGGCGGCCUGCUGGACGAUGACUGACGUUGAGGCUCGAAAGCGUGGGGAGCAAACAGGAUUAGAUACCCCCGUAGA
rnacentral:rRNA from 1 species